rnacentral:tRNA from 1 species
UGGGGAGUAGCCAAGUGGUAAGGCUAUGGACUUUGAAUCCAUCAUGCGCAGGUUCGAAUCCUGCCUCCCCAG